AUUGAACGCUGGCGGCAUGCCUUACACAUGCAAGUCGAACGGUAACAGGUCCUCGGAUGUUGACGAGUGGCGAGCGGGAGAGUAAUACAUCGGAACGUGCCUAGUAGUGGGGGAUAACUACUCGAAAGAGUGGCUAAUACCGCAUGAGAUCUACGGAUGAAAGCAGGGGAUCGCAAGACCUUGUGCUACUGGAGCGGCCGAUGGCAGAUUAGGUGGUUGGUGGGAUAAGAGCUUACCAAGCCGACGGUCUGUAGCUGGUCUGAGAGGACGAUCAGCCACACUGGGACUGAGACACGGCCCAGACUCCUACGGGAGGCAGCAGUGGGGAAUUUUGGACAAUGGGCGCAAGCCUGAUCCAGCAAUGCCGCGUGCAGGAUGAAGGCCUUCGGGUUGUAAACUGCUUUUGUACGGAACGAAAAGCCCUGGGUUAACACCCUGGGGUCAUGACGGUACCGUAAGAAUAAGCACCGGCUAACUACGUGCCAGCAGCCGCCGUAAGAC
rnacentral:rRNA from 1 species